rnacentral:rRNA from 1 species
UGGUGGAGUGAUUUGUCUGGUUAAUUCCGUUAACGAACGAGACCUCGACCUGCUAAAUAGCAUUCCGAAUUCUCCGGAAUUCGCGAAAGCUUCUUAGAGGGACUCUUGGUGUAAACCAAAGGAAGUUCGAGGCAAUAACA